GACGAACGCUGGCGGCAGGCCUAACACAUGCAAGUCGAACGAGUGGCGGACGUGUGAGUAAUGUCUGGGAACCUGCCAGAUGGAGGGGGAAAACUACUGGAAAGGGUAGCUAAUACCGCAAACCAUCAUAUGCUCCCAGAUGGGAUUAGCUUGUUGGUGGGGUAACGGCUCACCAAGGCGACGAUCCCUAGCUGGUCUGAGAGGAUGAACAGCCACACUGGAACUGAGACACGGUCCAGACUCCUACGGGAGGCAGCAGUGGGGAAUAUUGCACAAUGGGCGCAAGCCUGAUGCAGCCAUGCCGCGUGUAUGAAGAAGGCCUUCGGGUUGUAAAGUACUUUCAGCGAGGAGGCGUUACCCGCAGAAGAAGCACCGGCUAACUCCGUGCCAGCAGCCGCGGUAAUAC
rnacentral:rRNA from 1 species